UCCAUUCUUCUUGUCUCUUGUCCCUUUAUCAUCCCCACUCCCCCUCUAGGGUCCUCCUUGAUUGUACCCGCAGGCAGGGUCAAAUAAUGGUCACAUUCAUCAUAGGGAAUUAGUACCUGUGCGCUUUAUAUCUUCGUUCUUCUUUUUUUCCCAUUCCCCUCCCUUGCCGUUAACCUCUCUUCCUCUCCUUAUUUAUAAAUCUUUGUUUCCAUUUUAUCCUUCUUUUCUAAUUUUUCCCUUCUUUCCUCACCACCACAAUUCCAUUACCCGUGAGUGUAUGUGUGUGUGCGUGUGUGUGUGUGGUGUGUAUUCUUAAUGUAGCAGUCCUGACCAUGGAAAAAUAUAAUCUCAGUGUAUUUUUGAUUUUCACACUCCUGAUGGCUAAAGAUGCUGAACUAUUUUUCCUAAAGUUUUUGUUCUUUUCUACUUCCUUUGUGACUCAUGUCUAAUCCAUCUGCUUACUUUUGACUAGGUUAUUUGGAUUUUUGAUGUGAAGGGAUUUUUGGUUUAGUUUUUGUUUUUUAAAAUAUUCUGGAUAUAACAUCUGUUGAAAAAUUCCCUGGUGCCAUUUAUUGAAGAGGAUGUCUUUUCUCCAACUUGCGUGGUGUUUUGGUAGCCGUGCUAAAAAUCAGUACUGAGAAUCGAACUCAGGACCUUGUACUUGCCAGCUUGGAAAAUAGGCCAGAUCAAAGGCAAGAAACUAUAGCUGCCUUUCUUACAAGGUGGGAAAAAGCUCAAGCUAUAUUUAUUUCAUCACUAAAAGUCUGCAAGUCUACAAUAUGGAAGACAUGCCAGGAGGCAGAAGACUAAGAGACAAACUGAUACUGUAAAAGACAUUCUGGAGUCAGAACCUUAGAUGAACUCAUCUCAUCUGCUCAAAAUCAGCUUUAAAUGUCAAUGUUAUCUGAAAAAACUGCCUCAGAGAAAUAUCUAGACUGUUGUUUGAUGAAACAUCUGUGUACAAAGUCUUAGGCAAGCUGAUCAUAAAAUCAAAUCACAUAAAUUAAACGUUUAAAUGUUCAAAGACAA